rnacentral:lncRNA from 1 species
GGAAAUCAUUAUAACUCAGGAGAUGGAAUAUUUGUAGCACCAAUCACCGGAGUUGAUCAGUUCUCCUGGAUGACAUUGACAGAUGUCGUAAUUGAUACACUUGGUAUUAAUAUUGGAUUAUAGCUGCUGGAACAAUUCUAGUAACUAGGUUGACUGUGUGUAAUUAGAUAAAGACGAUCAUGUAUGGAUACAAACAGCAGGAGCCGGAAGCAAUAAUAACAUAAUGAAGAGUUAUGCAAGUUCAUUUAUGGGGCUAAUUGUGUUCGAAACAUAAGGUUACAAGCAGAGAGACAACAUAAGUUUCAUUCGGUAUGGG